rnacentral:rRNA from 1 species
AUUGAACGCUGGCGGCAGGCCUAACACAUGCAAGUCGAACGAGUGGCGGACGGGUGAGUAAUGUCUGGGAAACUGCCCGAUGGAGGGGGAUAACUAAUGGAAACGGUAGCUAAUACCGCAUACCAUCGGAUGUGCCCAGAUGGGAUUAGCUAGUAGGGGGGGUAACGGCUCACCAAGGAGACGAUCACUAGCUGGUCUGAGAGGAUGACCAGCCACACUGGAACUGUGACACGGUCCAGACUCCUACGGGAGGCAGCAGUGGGGAAUAUUGCACAAUGGGCGCAAGCCUGAUGCAGCCAUGCCGCGUGUAUGAAGAAGGCCUUCGGGUUGUAAAGUACUUUCAGCGGGGAGGCGUUACCCGCAGAAGAAGCACCGGCUAACUCCGUGCCAGCCGCCGCGGUAAUAC